UACGAUGUUACAGAGAUCUAGAUCUUAACUUUUCUCUUAACUACCAAAGAAGUACACAAAGGAUGUUGAAAGGUACCCAAAGGGCUCUAAUUGCUACCAUUCAAUGUGUGGAUUCAAGUAUUUACCCAGAUACUGCCACAAUAUGCUGUUAUUGUUUUCAAAGGAGUUUUCACACAGUGCCAGAAGCUGUAUAAAUACAUUUAACAAUGUAUAUUUCAAGAAGAAAUGAUGCUUUCUUAUUUCUAAGAGUUUAUCAAUAGGAUGAAUGCCACAAAACUCACUUGUUAUGCCAGAAACUCUUCCUACGAAACUUCCAUACUAGAAUUUGUCCAGUGCCUGUGAUCCUCUGAGUUGAAGGAGAAUGUGCUCCAUAAUACCUACUAGGAGCUUGCUGAUAGCUGGAAGUUCAUGAAUACUAUGUUGUCCUUGAUUUGAUGAUUCUGAAAACUACCAUUUCUGAAGACUUGAGCAUUAUUUCUAUAAUUUAAAAAAAUCUUUUCAGGAAAUAUUGUGUUUAUAAUAUUAAGAAAGUGAAGAUAAUAUUGUUCUUACUAAUAUUAUUGACUUAUUAAAAUAGAAAGCACAUCAUUACCAAUAUUCACUUGUCAAUAAAUGUUAGCAUUAUUCAUUUUUUAGUUACAUGUUCAAACUAUUAAAUUUUAUUAUUUAAAUUAUAGCAACUUUCUCUUUCAGUCCAGCUUAAGAUACAUUCCUGUAAAAAGUCUAUAAUAAUAAGUUAAUGUCGAUGUAGUAUUGUUCAGACACUUACAAGUUUAAUCAUCUAUACUUCACAAAAAAAAAGUGUUUGAAUGGUUUUCAUUUGUUUGUACAUCAAAUAUGUAUUAAUAUAAUUAUCAUUUUUAGAUGAAACAUUAAAUACUGAAGAUGACCAUUUCAAUUUCUGAUGUAGGCCUAUUCUCAUUUCAUGAAAUAAACAGAAUAUUAUCUGAAAUUUCA